CCUACGGGAGGCAGCAGUGAGGAAUAUUGGACAAUGGGCGCAAGCCUGAUCCAGCCAUGCCGCGUGCAGGAAGAAGCAUCUAUGGUGUGUAAACUGCUUUUGUACAGGAAGAAACACUCCCUCGUGAGGGAGCUUGACGGUACUGUAAGAAUAAGGACCGGCUAACUCCGUGCCAGCAGCCGCGGUAAUACGGAGGGUCCGAGCGUUAUCCGGAAUCAUUGGGUUUAAAGGGUCCGUAGGCGGUUUAAUAAGUCAGUGGUGAAAUCUGGUCGCUCAACGAUCAAACGGCCAUUGAUACUGUUAGACUUGAAUUAUAAGGAAGUAACUAGAAUAUGUAGUGUAGCGGUGAAAUGCUUAGAUAUUACAUGGAAUACCAAUUGCGAAGGCAGGUUACUACUUAUGGAUUGACGCUGAUGGACGAAAGCGUGGGGAGCGAACAGGAUUAGAUACCCUGGUAGUCCACGCCGUAAACGAUGGAUACUAGCUGUUCGGAGCAAUCUGAGUGGCUAAGCGAAAGUGAUAAGUAUCCACCUGGGGAGUAACGUUCGCAAGAAUGAAACUUCAAAUUGAAUUGAGGGCUUGAGACGNGCGACGGACGACGACGAGGGAGGAGG
rnacentral:rRNA from 1 species